GGCCAGAUAGCUCAGUUGGUAGAGCACCUGGUUAUAGAGAUUAAGGGGGCCCAGGUUCAAUUCCCUGUCUGGUCC
rnacentral:tRNA from 1 species